AUUGAACGCUGGCGGCAUGCCUUACACACGCAAGUCGAACGGUAACAGGUCUUCGGAUGCUGACGAGUGGCGAACGGGUGAGUAAUGCAUCGGAACGUGCCCAGUUGUGGGGGAUAACUGCUCGAAAGAGCAGCUAAUACCGCAUACGACCUGAGGGUGAAAGCGGGGGAUCGCAAGACCUCGCGCAAUUGGAGCGGCCGAUGUCAGAUUAGGUAGUUGGUGGGGUAAAGGCCUACCAAGCCGACGAUCUGUCGUUGGUCUGAGAGGACGACCAGCCACACUGGGACUGAGACACGGCCCAGACUCCUACGGGAGGCAGCAGUGGGGAAUUUUGGACAAUGGGCGCAAGCCUGAUCCAGCAAUGCCGCGUGCAGGAAGAAGGCCUUCGGGUUGUAAACUGCUUUUGUCAGGGAAGAAAUCCUCUGGGUUAAUACCCCGGGGGGAUGACGGUACCUGAAGAAUAAGCACCGGCUAACUACGUGCCAGCCGCCGCAGUAAAAC
rnacentral:rRNA from 1 species